UGAUCCUGGCUCAGGAUGAACGCGAGCGGCAGGCCUAACACAUGCAAGCCGAGGGGUAAGACCCGACUUGUCGGGAACACGACCGGCGAACGGGUGAGUAACGCGUAUGCAACCUACCUUUAACCGAAGAAUAGCUCUCGGAAACGAGAAUUAAUGCUUCAUAAUACUUAAGGAACGCAUGUUUCUAAAGUUAAAGUUCCGACGGUUUGAGAUGGGCAUGCGUAACAUUAGCUUGUUGGUGAGGUAACGGCUCACCAAGGCUACGAUGUUUAUGGGGUCUGAGAGGAUGAUCCCACACACUGGUACUGAGACACGGACCAGACUCCUACGGGAGGCAGCAGUGAGGAAUAUUGGGCAAUGGGUGAAAGCCUGACCCAGCCAUGCCGCGUGAAGGAUGACAGCCUUCGGGUUGUAAACUUCUUUUAUACGGGAAGAAACCUACCGACGUGUCGGUAGCUGACGGUACCGUAAGAAUAAGCAUCGGCUAACUCCGUGCCAGCAGCCGCGGUAAUACGGAGGAUGCGAGUGUUAUCCGGAUUUAUUGGGCUUAAAGGGUGCGUAGGCGGAAUAGUAAGUCAGUGGUGAAAUCCUGCAGCUUAACUGUAGAACUGCCAUUGAUACUGCUAAUCUUGAGUGUAGUUGAGGUGGGCGGAAUGUGUAAUGUAGCGGUGAAAUGCAUAGAUAUUACACAGAACACCGAUUGCGAAGGCAGCUCACUAAACUAUUACUGACGCUAAGGCACGAAAGCGUGGGGAGCGAACAGGAUUAGAUACCCUGGUAGUCCACGCCGUAAACGUUGAUUACUCGCUGCUGGCAAUACAUCGUCAGUGGCUGAGCGAAAGCAUUAAGUAAUCCGCCUGGGAAGUACGUUCGCAAGGAUGAAACUCAAAGGAAUUGACGGGGGCCCGCACAAGCGGAGGAACAUGUGGUUUAAUUCGAUGAUACGCGAGGAACCUUACCUGGGCUCAAACGCAAGCGACCGUCUCGGAAACGAGAUUUCCCUUCGGGGCGCGAAGCGAGGUGCUGCAUGGCUGUCGUCAGCUCGUGCCGUGAGGUGUCGGGUUAAGUCCCAUAACGAGCGCAACCCCUAUUCUUAGUUGCCAGCGGAUAAUGCCGGGGACUCUAAGAAAACUGCCAGCGUAAGCUGUGAGGAAGGUGGGGAUGACGUCAAGUCAGCACGGCCCUUAUGUCCAGGGCUACACACGUGUUACAAUGGCCAGUACAGAAGGCUGCUAACUGGUGACAGUGUGCUAAUCUCUAAAGCAGGCCUCAGUUCGGAUUGGAGUCUGCAACUCGACUCCAUGAAGCUGGAAUCGCUAGUAAUCGCGCAUCAGCCAUGGCGCGGUGAAUACGUUCCCGGGUCUUGUACACACCGCCCGUCAAACCAUGGAAGCUUGGGGUACCUGAAGUCCGUACCGCAAGGAGCG
rnacentral:rRNA from 1 species